rnacentral:rRNA from 1 species
UACGGGGGGGGUAAGCGUUGUUCGGAAUUACUGGGCGUAAAGGGCUCGUAGGCGGCCAACUAAGUCAGACGUGAAAUCCCUCAGCUUAACUGGGGAACUGCGUCUGAUACUGGAUGGCUUGGAUUUGGGAGAGGGAUGCGGAAUUCCAGGUGUAGCGGUGAAAUGCGUAGAUAUCUGGAGGAAUACCGGUGGCGAAGGCGGCAUCCUGGACCGAGAUUGACACUGAUGAGCGAAAGCUAGGGGAGCAAACGGG